rnacentral:lncRNA from 1 species
ACAAGUCACGCUGUCUCUGAGAGGUAUGGGGACAGGGGCGCAGAGGAAGAAUGAUCGCGAGUCCUCAGCCCUGUUUGGCUGACGGGGGACAGGGAUGGGUGGGAAAGAGGUACAGCGUUUUUCCACCUUCCCCACCCAUCACCCCUGAGAUUCCAAAUGAACAUCGGGACCAACCCCGGGAGCCCAGCGGAUGUUCAGGGUAGGGCAAAGAACAGGUGCCAAGUUUGCUCCCUGGGGUGUGAGACUGGGCAGCCUCAAGAGCUGCAUUGGUAGGACUUUCACCAGGUAGACAGCAGGCACCUCGCCCCUGCAGAUCACAGCUUCCAGGGCCACCUGUCCACAGAAUCCCUUCACUGAUCUGUGCUUGAGGCAGGGGUGUGUGGACUGGGAGUCCUUCUUUUACUCUGGGUGGGGCCUCAUGCUCAGAGGGAGCUCUGUCUACCCCCACCACAAACCUGCAGUUUCCCUGCUACAGCGAUGGCAACCUCAGCCACCUGGCUGCCCAGGCCCCCAACCUGGGUUCUCCCUCUUGUUCCCAUGGUCAGCCCAUCAGCAAACUCAUCCACAUGUCCAAGGGUCCACCCCCACUACCCUGCCCUGCCCUGGUCCAGCUAGGAUGUUUGCAGUCGUCUCCUCAUUGGUCUCCCUGCCUCCUCUCUCGCCUUCCUAAGCCAGAGGAAUUCUGUAAGAGCUCAAGUUAGAUCCUAUCCCUUCUCUGCUCAGAACCCUCUAUGGCUCCCAACUCACUCAGAGCAGAAGCCCACAGGGCCUGCAGGAUCUCUGCCCUGGCCCCGCCUGACCUCACUGCCUCUCCCUUCUCUGUUCACCCACAGCCACGGUGGCCUCAUCUCUCUGCCAUAAACUUGCCAAUUAUCCUGCUGCUGCCUCAUUGACUUCGCACCCACUCUUCCCUCUGGAACAGAGGACACUCUCGCCAGCUCUCCCCAUGGCGGAUCCUUGUCUAGGGUCAGGCCUCUGCUCCAAAGUCACCCCUGGGGACACCUUCUCUGACCAGCCCCUCAUUCCUAUGGCCUCAUGCUGUUUUUAUUUCUUCCUAGGACUUAGCACGUAUCCUAGAAAUUAACCUGCUGGUAUAUCCUGUUUCUUGUCUGUCUCUUUCCAGUGGAAUGUCACCAUCGCCCAGGUGGGGAUUUUUGUGUGUUUUGUUCACUGCUGUACACCCAGCCCCCAGCACAGCGCCUGUCCAGGACAAGUGCCCAGUAAACACUUGGGAAGCAAUGCAAGCGUGCGUGCAUGGAUAAGUAUUUCUUUGGCAGAUGAGGGGGCUAAGGUUCAGAGAAGGCCCUGGGGGUCUCAGACUCAUAGCCCAGUGCUCUUUCUGCUGACACGCCCUGGUCUCUGGGGCAGUUUGUUGCCUGUUCAGCAACAAAGAGGGUGUGCCUCGUUAGGGGUCCUGCGUGCGAAUCGCAGUCCCUGCGUGUCUUGGCUGGAGGUCACCACCCUCUCUGCUCCAGGGCCUGUAAUUACCACUUACCCUGGUCAAUGGGUCCGAGAGAUUACCCUUGUAGGCAGGGCUGUGGCCAGGGUGCUCACCUGGCCCCCAGCAGGUCCCAUGGGCACUGUCUGGCCGGGCUUCAUGGCUGACAUUCCAGGUCCUCCCAGCAGCUCCUGCAAACAGACCCCCGACCCAAGCCCUUCCUUCUGCCUCCACUGCCACCACUGCUGCUCAUCUCUGCUGGCACAGAAGUCUCUUCCCUGGUCUUCCAGAAAUCCCCUCUCCACACUCAGCCAGAGGGAGCUAUUAAAACUGUGGGCCAGCCCACAUCAGUCCACAGCAAAGUCCUCUCUAAGGGAUCUCUGUUGCUUGGAGAAUAAACCCUCGGAUUCCUUCCUUGG